rnacentral:rRNA from 1 species
UACAGAGGGUGCAAGCGUUAAUCGGAAUGACUGGGCGUAAAGCGUGCGUAGGUGGUGACUUAAGUUAGAUGUGAAAUCCCUGGGCUUAACCUAGGAACUGCAUAUAAUACUGGGACACUAGAGUAUGGGAGAGGUAAGUGGAAUUUCCGGUGUAGCGGUGAAAUGCGUAGAUAUCGGAAGGAACACCAGUGGCGAAGGCGGCUUACUGGCCUAAUACUGACACUGAGGCACGAAAGCGUGGGGAGCAAACAGG